UACGUAGGGGGCAAGCGUUAUCCGGAUUUACUGGGUGUAAAGGGAGCGUAGACGGCAGAGCAAGUCUGAAGUGAAAGCCCGCGGCCCAACUGCGGGACUGCUUUGGAAACUGCCCGGCUAGAGUGCUGGAGAGGUAAGCGGAAUUCCUAGUGUAGCGGUGAAAUGCGUAGAUAUUAGGAGGAACACCAGUGGCGAAGGCGGCCUGCUGAACGAUGACUGACGUUGAGGCUCGAAAGCGUGGGGAGCAAACAGG
rnacentral:rRNA from 1 species